GACGAACGCUGGCGGCGUGCUUAACACAUGCAAGUCGAACGGAAAGGCCCUGCGUUUGUGGGGUGCUCGAGUGGCGAACGCGUGAGUAACACGUGAGUAACCUGCCCUUGACUUUGGGAUAACUUCAGGAAACUGGGGCUAAUACAGGAUAGGAGCUCCUGCUGCAUGGUGGGGGUUGGAAAGUGUCGGCGGUUGGGGAUGGACUCGCGGCUUAUCAGCUUGUUGGUGGGGUAGUGGCUUACCAAGGGUUUGACGGGUAGCCGGCCUGAGAGGGUGACCGGCCACAAUGGGACUGAGAUACGGACCAGACGCCUACGGGAGGCAGCAGUCGGGAAUAUUGCACAGUGGGCGGAAGUCUGAUGCAGCAACGCCGCGUGCGUGAUGACGGCCUUCGGGUUGUAAACCGCUUUGGCCUGUGACGAAGCGUGAGUGACGGUAAUGGGUAAAGAAGCACCGGCUAACUACGUG
rnacentral:rRNA from 1 species